GCCGAUGUGGUGGAAUUGGUAGACACGGUAGAUUCAAAAUCUGCUUGUAGCAAUACAGUGCUGGUUCGAGUCCAGUCAUCGGCA
rnacentral:tRNA from 1 species